AGUGAACGCUGGCGGCGUGCCUAAUACAUGCAAGUCGAACGGUAACAGGAAGUAGCUUGCUACUUUGCUGAUUAGUGGCGCACGGGUGAGUAAUGCAUAGGUCAUGUGCCCCAUAGUCUGGGAUAGCCACUGGAAACGGUGAUUAAUACUGGAUACUCCCGAGAGGGGAAAGUUUUUCGCUAUGGGAUCAGCCUAUGUCCUAUCAGCUUGUUGGUGAGGUAAUGGCUCACCAAGGCUAUGACGGGUAUCCGGCCUGAGAGGGUGAACGGACACACUGGAACUGAGACACGGUCCAGACUCCUACGGGAGGCAGCAGUAGGGAAUAUUGCUCAAUAGGGGAAACCCUGAAGCAGCAACGCCGCGUGGAGGAUGAAGGUCUUCGGAUUGUAAACUCCUUUUCUAAGAGAAGAUUAUGACGGUAUCUUAGGAAUAAGCACCGGCUAACUCCGUG
rnacentral:rRNA from 1 species